AUACAGCAAAGGUUAUUAACAAAGGCCACUUCCCUUCCCGGGCAUCUCUCGGGAGACGCAUGUCACAGGCUCCAAACUAGUAGCUAACAAGACUCACACUUGAGAAAAUGCAGUAAAUUAAGGAGAAUUGGAGACUCAUUCUUAGCACAGAAGGAUAUUUAGAAUUAAGCAGAAAGCACAUGAGACAACUACUUGGAAGCAUUUAUGAUUGUUGCCAUCUCACUAAUGACGCAUCUAUGAGUGCAAGAUGUUCUGAAGACCACCCUGAGCUGUUUGUGGCCCAUUCGCUAUUUAUGUAUGACAAGGCCUAAGGCCAGAAGGCAAUGAAACCCACUGAGGCUAACGGUCAAUAGCCUGGGAACUGUGCAACAUGCUUCUAACUUCUGUCUGACACCAGCAAGUUCCAGCUACUACUGAUGGCCCACCACUCAUCUAACUUCACUGCACCGCUAGCCCUCCAUAAAAUGAAGAGACUCCUUGCUUGUGUGAAAUCUAUGCAGAAUCUUAUCUAUGAUAAAGUAUAAGCC